CCUACGGGAGGCAGCAGUAGGGAAUAUUGCUCAAUGGGGGAAACCCUGAAGCAGCAACGCCGCGUGGAGGAUGAAGGUUUUCGGAUUGUAAACUCCUUUUGUUAGAGAAGAUAAUGACGGUAUCUAACGAAUAAGCACCGGCUAACUCCGUGCCAGCAGCCGCGGUAAUACGGAGGGUGCAAGCGUUACUCGGAAUCACUGGGCGUAAAGAGCGCGUAGGCGGGAUAGCAAGUCAGAUGUGAAAUCCUAUGGCUUAACCAUAGAACUGCAUUUGAAACUGUUAUUCUAGAGUAUGGGAGAGGUAGGUGGAAUUCUUGGUGUAGGGGUAAAAUGCGUAGAGAUCAAGAGGAAUACUCAUUGCGAAGGCGACCUGCUAGAACGUAACUGACGCUGAUGCGCGAAAGCGUGGGGAGCAAACAGGAUUAGAUACCCUAGUAGUC
rnacentral:rRNA from 1 species